rnacentral:lncRNA from 1 species
CUCCUGCCUGGGACAAGCGGAGCUGACUCAUUCUGAAGAUGACUCUGCAAGCAUGGAGUUCAUUCCAGAGGAGGUUAGAAUCACUCAGCAUGAAGAGAGGGUGUAACAGGAUGUUGUCUCUGCUGAGGAAGUGGGGCUGCCACCCGAUGGAUUGGAUGGAUUGUCGGUCAUCCCCGCAGGAGAGGCUGGGCCAGGUUGUGGUGCGUCCAACCCCCAGCCCUCUGGGCAGACCGGUUGUGAUCUAAGUCAUUUCAAGGGUUUCUCAAUGGACCGAUUGCCAGAGGUUGGGGUGUCAAGAAUUUGGGGUAUCAAGGUUAAGUACAAAACAUGGAUCUUUGUCUGACAAGACAGGCUGGCCGCUGACUGUUAAAUACUUCCCCACAAAAGGGACAAGCCCGGAGCCAGGUUACCGGCCCACACCGCAAGACAGGCUUUCUUUUAGGAAAUGGACAAAGCUCUAUGACCAGAACAAGCACUUUGGGGAAUUUAAAUUUGCUUUCCCUGACACGACUCCACUUUCAUCACUACCCCUGAACUUAAGGGGCAUCCAAACCUCAGUCUCAGCAGGUUUGUUUUGUGUCUGUGUGUGUCUGUAUGUGUGUUCGUGUGUGUCUGUAUGUGUAUCUGUGUGUGUGUGUCUGUGUGUGUCUCUGUGUGUCUGUGUGUGUGUCUGUGUGUGUCUGUGUAUGUCUCUGUGUGUCUGUGUGUGUGUCUGUGUGUGUGUGUCUGUGUAUGUCUCUGUGUGUCUGUGUCUGUGUCUGUGUGUGUCUCUGUGUGUGUGUGUGUUUUGAAACACGGUCUUGCUCUGUCGCCCAAGCUGGAGGGCAAUGGUGCAAUCACGGCUCACUGCAGCGUUGACUUCCUAGGCUCAAGCGAUCCUCCCAUCUCAGCCUCCUGAAUAGCUGGCACCACAGGUGGGAGCCACCACUUCUAGCUAAUUUUUGUAUUUUUUGUAGAAAUAGAGUCUUUCUAUGUUGCCCAGGAUGGUCUUGAACUCCUAGGGUCAGGCAAUCCUCCUGCCUCAGCCUCCCAUGGUGUUGGGAUUACAGGCGUGAGCCACCAUGCACAGCCAGCAUAUUUCUUAACAUCAGAUUUUUUUUUUUUUUUGAGACGGAGUUUCACUCUUGUUGCCCAGGCUGGAGUGCAGGGGUGUGAUCUCGGCUCACUGCAACCUCUACCUCCUGGGUUCAAGCGAUUCUCUUACUUCAGCCUCCUGAGUAGCUGGAACUGCAGACACGUACCACCACGCCCAGCUAAUUUUGUAUUUUUAGUAAAGACGGGGUUUCACCAUGUUGGUCAGGCUGGUCUCGAAUUCCUGACCACAGGUGAUCUGUCUGCCUUGGCCUCCCAAAGUGCUGCGAUUGCAGGCCUCAGCCACCACGCCCAACCAGAUUAUUUAUUUAUUUAUGUAUUUAUGUAUUUAUCUGUUUAUGUAUUUAUUUAUUUAUUUUUCUUUUGAGACGGAGUUU